UUCAGAUGACACCUGGACACCUCUCCAGGAGGCUGCAAACCAACAACUGGUGAGCCAACCAGGAGACCAAAGAAAUGAGCCUUGUGAGAAAGAAAGGUAUCCGAGGGGUGGAUUACUGAGUCGGCUGUCAAGGUCUGCUGGCGGGGGAAGGGCCCAUAUGUCAGAUGCAUGCAUGAACCGGGACACCCUGAAAACACUGGCUGCUCUAAUGAGGUUGUGAAACUGCACACAGCACAGUGCAACAAGAGAAUCCCUGGGGAAGUGAUGAGAGGGAAGAGAAGAUGCUGUGGUGACCGACGAGGAAGUGGAUUAAACGCCCUGUGCCCUCGGACCCUAAUCCAGAGGACAGCAGUAUUAGCCCCAGCCAGUGGGGUGGCCCCCAGCUAAGGAAACAUUCGUGACGAGAGAAUUUACUCCCGCCGAGCUUACUGAUUCAGCUGCCAAGUUCCAGCAAAAAGCCAGGGGAAAUAGCACAGUAACAUUAUUUUAUGAGAUUCAACCAUCGUUUGGAGCUCCAAUAACCCAUCCUACAUCUGAGCAUAUGGUGGAGUUUUCCAGAGGCUACAUGAUGUGAUAUCUCCACAGACUGCAGAAGCAGAUAUGAGAAUCCAGCUGUCUUCUAUUAAACCAGACGUUAACAAGAUAUGCAAAAAUGUACAACAAUCCCACUCUUGUCAAUGAAAUUUUUUUGUCUUGGAAAGUAUACUUAUAUUUUAAAAUAAAAAUGCUUUUUAUGUUAACAUGUA